UCCACUCUAUAUCAUCUCAAAUACACUGAUCUUGUCUGAUUUCAGAAGCUGAACAGGGUUGGGUGUGACUAGUAUCUGGAUGGUGUCCACAAGGGAUCUCCAGGUAGGGGUAGGAA
rnacentral:rRNA from 1 species